AUGAUGGCACCGGCCUUCCCCGCCGCAGCCGAGAUGCCGUGGCAGGUCGACCGGAGCCGCGCCGGGAAGAUCUCGGCCGGCACGAUGAACGUCGUUGCGUUCGGCCCGAAGUUGGCGAAGAAGAAGGUGAGCCCGUACAUGACGACGAAGCCGACGUGGUUGCCCGGCGUCGUCCAGUGGUGGUACGGCACCGCAAGGCCGAGCAUGAAAACGGUCAUCAUGGCGAACCCCACGAGCUGGAUCCAGAACGUUCCGAUGACGUCGAUGAGGAACACGGUGAACCAGUAG
rnacentral:rRNA from 1 species